UGCCUGUUCAAUGUCUGAGGGAACAUUUUCCGGAUUAAUGCUUUCACAAUCUGGGACAAUACAGAGCAAGUUAUGGCCAACACCUGACGCUGAAGUCUGGAUCAAUACCACCAAGCCUCCUGAACAAAAGUUCCCGAAGAAAGCAACAUGAUGAAGCAAAACUCCUCCCUCACCACUACGUUGGAGUCUUCCCAUUCAGUCAUCACCCAAUUUGCUCCAAAGAAUCAAACACAAGCAGACACUUCUUACAGAUGGCUGUCCUCUAGAAUGAAAAUGCACACCAACCACCGGCAAACAUCAAAAGCUAAUCCAACCUUUGGUCUUCCGAAACCCCGUGACUAAUGCAAUGUUGGUGCCCUAGAAGACAAGUCAGCGCAGUUCAGACGAGCCAGCCAGAGGAGGUCACCGCCAGCCUUGUAUCGAGGUCCCAACAUCCUUCAUCGGGGAACUCGGCAUGGAUAUGCAAGACAACACUCGAAUCACUGUUGGACAAAUGCCUGAAACGGCUGGAAAAAUAGAAAAGAUGGUUACAGAGACUGUUAUUGCUGUUCUUCUUUCAAUACAAUAUUUGCCUUCCAUAAAAUAUUCCCAUGUUCCAA